rnacentral:rRNA from 1 species
AUACGGAAGGUGCGAGCGUUAAUCGGAAUUACUGGGCGUAAAGCGUACGUAGGCGGUUGGUUAAGUUAGAUGUGAAAGCCCCGGGCUUAACCUGGGAACUGCAUUUAAAACUGGCGAACUAGAGUUGAGUAGAGGGGAGUGGAAUUUCAGGUGUAGCGGUGAAAUGCGUAGAGAUCUGAAGGAACACCAGUGGCGAAGGCGACUCCCUGGACUCGAACUGACGCUGAGGUACGAAAGCGUGGGUAGCAAACGGGAUUAGAAACCCUAGUAGUCC